rnacentral:rRNA from 1 species
GACGGACCGUCCGAACGUUACUCGGAAUUACUGGGCUUAAAGGGUGCGUAGGCGGCCUUGCAAGUCGGGUGUGAAAUCCCUCGGCCCAACCGAGGAAUUGCGCUCGAUACUGCGGGGCUCGAGGGAGAUAGAGGUGAGCGGAACUUGCGGUGGAGCGGUGAAAUGCGUUGAUAUCGCAAGGAACACCGGAGGCGAAAGCGGCUCACUGGGUCUCUCCUGACGCUGAGGCACGAAAGCUAGGGGAGCGAACGGG